rnacentral:rRNA from 1 species
UGGGGGAUAUUGCACAAUGGGCGAAAGCCUGAUGCAGCAACGCCGCGUGAGGGAAGACGGUUUUCGGAUUGUAAACCUCUGUCUUUGGGGAAGAAAGAAAUGACGGUAGCCGAGGAGGAAGCCACGGCUAACUACGUGCCAGCAGCCGCGGUAAUACGUAGGUGGCAAGCGUUGUCCGGAAUUACUGGGUGUAAAGGGAGCGCAGGCGGGAGAGCAAGUCAGCUGUGAAACCUAUGGGCUUAACCCAUAAACUGCAGUUGAAACUGUUUUGCUUGAGUGGAGUAGAGGUAGGCGGAAUUCCGAGUGUAGCGGUGAAAUGCGUAGAUAUUCGGAGGAACACCAGUGGCGAAGGCGGCCUACUGGGCUAUAACUGACGCUGAGGCACGAAAGCGUGGGGAGCAAACA